UAAUUAAAUGGCGAUGGAGUUCGCCCUUAACCACUGAAAUUCAGUUGAUGACUCCUGUAAAACA
rfam:Clostridium formicaceticum strain ATCC 27076, complete genome.